AAAACUUUAAGUUAAAUAAACUAAAAACCUUCAAAGUUUUCAAUAGAUAUUCUCUAAGUUUUG
rnacentral:tRNA from 1 species